UGUGACAUCUGGUUCCCUUGGUUGAUUUCACCACACUGACAGCCCCUGUGAUCAAACAACAAGAGCACAGCAGGCAAACUCACCUCAUCAUAGAUGCUGUCGUUUUUGUGAAAGUCUCCAGCCUUUCGGGGAAGAAUGUGGACAUGAACGUGCUGAAAAUGAGGAAGAUGAUGUUCACUUUCAGGAAUUAUAUAUGAAAUCUGCUGAGAAGAGAAGCACAAAACAAGAGGCAACAACUUGGCAGCACACCCACCAUCAACUGUAGCCCCACCAUGCCACUCUACCUUGGAACCAACUGAGUGUGGACUGAAGCCUCCAAACACUAAUGCAAACUGAAAUGAGAGCGCGAAUCAAGACUCUCUGAUUCUUAACCACAUCCUAGUACCUGGUUACAGCAUCUUGGACACAGAGCCCUUGCUGAGCACUGAAUGGGAUGAGGAAGGUGCAUUUCCAGCCAGCCUUCUGGCCACCUGCUGAAAUUAUGCCACUACCAGUCUCCAUGUCAUACAGAUUUUACACUCUCAUACCAGAAAAGCGACCCUUGAAGACAAGUGGAGGGAACACACUAGGAAUUUUGCCAGUGAGAAGACCUGUCCAAAGAAUCCCCAGGAUAAACACUGCCUACCUACAGGAAGGCUUUGCUGGAAAACACAUCCCUGUUUGCUGAAGCCACAGGGAGUUUGUUGUUGUUGCCCAGAAAGGAAUUGCUCCUUUAUCUACCAGUUCUUUCAAGCAAAUAUUUAAUAAGCACAUCUGACAUGCCAGACUUCUGGUGAAUGACAAAAUGAACUGAGGUGAGUUCUGCUUAGUCUACAGAGCAGCACUGGCCGUAUGUCACUACUGAUCAUCUAGAUCAUGGCUGGUUCAGACUGGGAUGAACCGGAAGCAUGAAAUACAAACCAGAUUUCAAAGACUUAGUACCAGAAAAACAGAAUGUGAAUGAAUUCUUUUAACUUCUUUACAUUAUAGGUUAAUAUAAUACUAUUCUGGAUACAAUGUGUUAAAACAGUGACUCACCAAAAAGGAUUUUACUUGUAUUUUAUUUUUUAUGUUGAACCAGAAAAAAACAAAAUGGCACAUGUUGUUAGUAGAGUACUUCUGUUGGACAGCACAAUUACACAAGCACUGAUCUUAUCCUUCGGCUGUGAAGUAUUUCCCCACAUAAUGCAUCUCUGUGUUUGUUCUCUCCUUUCCAUGGAUGACUCUUUUUCCACAGUUGGCAUUGUGACUACGGUUCACCCUUCCAAAUGCAUUUUAUAUGGCAGAUUCAAAGAAUGUUUUAUUAAUGAAAUCUCUUUGCAACCUACAGAUGCAGUGCUUUGCCCUCCAGAAGAGAUGCUGAUCCAUCACCUCCUUUGGUCCCCACACUAAUUUCCCCUAUGUCCAGUUCCUGAUCAUGCACUUUUCUUGAUUGUAUUAUGUUAUUAAGUACCUGAGAAUGUAGACAAGUUGUGAUCACUUAGAGAUUCAUGAAAGAAAAUCCCAACUCUUAUCACCCUGGGUUGAAAUUAGGUCUUCUUUCCUAUUGGGGGAAAUGUGUGCAGGUGUGAGCAAUUAAAAAAUUAAACAUUAAUUAACAACCCAA